CCCUUAGAUGUCCUGGGCCGCACGCGCGUUACACUGAUGCAUUCAACGAGCUUAUAACCUUGGCCGAGAGGCCUGGGCAAUCUUGUUAACGUGCAUCGUGAUAGGGAUAGAUUAUUGAAAUUAUUAAUCUUGAACGAGGGAUUCCUAGUAAACGCAGAUCAUCAAUCUGCAUUGAUUACGUCCCUGCCCUUUGUACACACCGCCCGUCGCACCUACCGAUUGGAUGGUCCGGUGAAGCCUCGGGAUUGUGGUUCUUGCCGCUUUAUUGUAGCGUGACCGCGAGAACUUGUCUAAACCUUAUCAUCUAGAGGAAGGUGAAGUCGUAACA
rnacentral:rRNA from 1 species